rnacentral:rRNA from 1 species
AACAUAUUACCGAAACUGUGGAUGAACCUCUUUAGAGGUUCGUGGUAGGAGAGCGUUCUAAGGGCGGUGAAGUCAGACCGGAAGGACUGGUGGAGCGCUUAGAAGUGAGAAUGCCGGUAUGAGUAGCGAAAGAAGGGUGAGAAUCCCUUCCACCGAAUAUCUAAGGUUUCCUGAGGAAGGCUCGUCCGCUCAGGGUUAGUCGGGACCUAAGCCGAGGCCGAUAGGCGUAGGCGAUGGACAACAGGUAGAGAUUCCUGUACCAGUGCUAAUUGUUUAACCGAUGGGGUGACACAGAAGGAUAGGGAAUCGCACGAAUGGAAAUGUGCGUCCAAGCAGUGAGUGUGAGAAGUAGGCAAAUCCGCUUCUCGCGAAGCAUGAGCUGUGAUGGGGAAGGAAAUUAAGUACGGAAGUUCCUGAUUUCACGCUGUCAAGAAAAGCCUCUAGGAAGAGUAGUACUGCCCGUACCGCAAACCGACACAGGUAGAUGAGGAGAGAAUCCUAAGGUGAGCGAGAGAACUCUCGUUAAGGAACUCGGCAAAAUGACCCCGUAACUUCGGGAGAAGGGGUGCUCUAUUAGGGUGCAAGCCCGAGAGAGCCGCAGUGAAUAGGCCCAGGCGACUGUUUAGCAAAAACACAGGUCUCUGCAAAACCGUAAGGUGACGUAUAGGGGCUGACGCCUGCCCGGUGCUGGAAGGUUAAGAGGAGUGCUUAGCUUCGGCGAAGGUACGAAUUGAAGCCCCAGUAAACGGCGGCCGUAACUAUAACGGUCCUAAGGUAGCGAAAUUCCUUGUCGGGUAAGUUCCGACCCGCACGAAAGGCGCAACGAUCUGGGCACUGUCUCAACGAGAGACUCGGUGAAAUUAUAGUACCUGUGAAGAUGCAGGUUACCCGCGACAGGACGGAAAGACCCCGUGGAGCUUUACUGCAACCUGAUAUGGAAUGUUUGUACCGCUUGUACAGGAUAGGUAGGAGCCGAAGAGACGUGUGCGCUAGCAUACGAGGAGGCAAUGGUGGGAUACUACCCUGGCUGUAUGACCAUUCUAACCCGCCACGCUUAGCGCGUGGGGAGACAGUGUCAGGUGGGCAGUUUGACUGGGGCGGUCGCCUCCUAAAGAGUAACGGAGGCGCCCAAAGGUUCCCUCAGAAUGGAUGGAAAUCAUUCGCAGAGUGUAAAGGCACAAGGGAGCUUGACUGCGAGACUGACAAGUCGAGCAGGGACGAAAGUC